GCGAAGCAGACGUGUACCAUUUAUUUGUCUCAAAUAAAAGUGAUAUUUCUAAUCAUUUUGUGUGUCUAGUGAAGCUGAGGACUCAUGCAGUUCACACUGCCAGUCGCCGAGUCACCGUGGACGUCUACUACAGUGAUGGCGUCAGGAAAAUGUGGAGUUAUAAUUAUGUUGCUGUAUGGACGUGACAGAGGGAACGAGAUGAACUUCAAAUACUGUGUAUAACAUGGGUAGAUUAUUUAAAGAGUUUCUUGAAAUCCAUGUAAUAAAAAUUAUAACU